CCUGUUUACCAAAAACAUCGCCCUCUGAACACAACAUAUAGAGGGUCCUGCCUGCCCAGUGACUAAAGGUUAAACGGCCGCGGUAUCUUGACCGUGCGAAGGUAGCAUAAUCAUUUGUCUCCUAAAUAGAGACUGGUAUGAAUGGCAAGACGGAACUACACUGUCUCCUUUUUCUGUAUCUAAAUUUCACAUUCUCGUGAAGAGGCGGGAAUAAUAUCGUUAGACGAGAAGACCCUGUCGAGCUGAAGUAAAACCUUAGUGUUUAGUUUCUUUUAAGUUACUCUAAUUUUUAAUACUAAUUUUCUUAAUAGAUUAACAACUAAGCUUAACUUUGGUUGGGGCAACCGCGGAGUAACACCACCCUCCGCUAACAAUUUUUAACUAAGACAAACAAGUCUAAUUAAACUACUAAGUUAAUAAAUGAUCCACCUCGGUGAUCAAAGGAAAAAGUUACCGCAGGGAUAACAGCGUUAUCUUUUUUGAGAGUUCAUAUUGACAAAAAGGUUUGCGACCUCGAUGUUGGAUCGGGACAUCCUAAGGGUGCAGAAGCUCUUAAGGGUUGGUCUGUUCGACCAUUAAAGUCCUACGUGAUCUGAGUUCAGACCGGCGAGAGCCAGGUCAGUUUCUAUCU
rnacentral:rRNA from 1 species